GCAAAACUCCCAGCUGAGAGGAAAAGAUUGACUCUGGGCGCCAUUUCACAACAUAGUUCAGUUUUGGGCAGAUUGAACAGUUUCGAGUUUGGAGAAAAGGAGAAAAGCUUUCAAGAAAAGUGUCCUGACUGUAAUGAUCAGUAGUUUAUAAGUUCAUGACAGGUGUAGGAACCUCCACCAGACACCAGGAGAGAAAGCUGCAGCGUGGACCGAAUGGGUGGCAACAACGGAAAAUGCCAGUAUUCUGAGG